rnacentral:lncRNA from 1 species
UAACGCGUUCCAAAGAAUUUUGAACAAUUCCAAACUUGUGAUUUUCCGCACAUUUUCAUGAAAUUAACAAAAAUCCGCAGCGUGAUGGGUUUUUUUAAAGAAAUAAGCUGUUUUUGGCAGACACCAUUUGAUUGUCUGCAAGAACUUCCUUUUUCUAUCAAAUCAAGAUUCCACAAUACGAUAAGCUGAGCACAAAAUAUACUGGUGGCUGAAUUUCAGACAGACCUAUAUGUGGAUGCAAAAUAUAGGCGCGUCUGAAAUUCAGACACCGGUAUAUCUUGCAUCCUGAUAUAGGGGAUAUCUGGAUACGAAAUAUCCUGGUGUCUGAAUUUCAGACAGACCUAUAUGUGGAUGCAAAAUAUAGGCACGUCUGAAAUUCAGACAUCCGUAUAUCUGAGCACAAAAUAUACUGGUGUCUGAAAUUCAGACAGACCUAUAUGUGGAUGCAAAAUAUAGGCGCGUCUGAAAUUCAGACACCGGUAUAUCUUGUUUCCUGACAUAGGAGUGUCUAAAUUUCAGACACCCCUAUAUCUGGAUACGAAAUAUACUGGUGUCUGAAUUUCAGACAGACCUAUAUGUGGAUGCAAAAUAUAGGCGCGUCUGAAAUUCAGACACCGGUAUAUCUUGUUUCCUGACAUAGGAGUGUCUAAAUUUCAGACACCCCUAUAUCUGGAUACGAAAUAUACUGGUGUCUGAAUUUCAGACAGACCUAUAUGUGGAUGCAAAAUAUAGGCACGUCUGAAAUUCAGACAGCCGUAUAUCUGAGCACAAAAUAUACUGGUGUCUGAAAUUCAGACAGACCUAUAUGUGGAUACAAAAUAUAGGCGCGUCUGAAAUUCAGACAUCCGUAAAUCUGGAUGCAAGAUAUACAAGCGUCUGGAAUUCAGAUUACUUUGUGUAAUACAAAUAUAAGUGAAACAUAAUAAUAAAAUAAGUGAUAAUACAAGUGUUACAAAGUCUCAAAUAAAUAUUAACGACAUAGUAGUUUCUAUAUUUCUUAUAGAUGAAGUGUUUGAAGAACACAGAAAAAAUGUACAAUUACAAAAUUAGCGUCAUUAUUGAAUAGUAAUGAAUAAUAAAGGCUUAUAGACCAAUUGCAAAACUUAGUGACCGCGCCUUAAACUGCACGAAUACGAGGCUUAUUAGGCAAAAACAAAUCAUUCUGCUAUAUUUUUAUAUGCCGAAAAAUAAAUUUUGGUGUUUGAGACGCGUUUUUACGGUAAUCUCUUCAUUUUUUUUCAAUAUUUUUGUUUUGACUAUGUAAAUCUAUAUUAAACUUGGUCAUAGAUUUAGUCUUACUUCAAAUUUCAUUGUUUUUCGCGGCAUGCGAGACAAAGUUUUUCUGUUUUUCGCCGUCCGAUAAAAGAAGCAGAUUAUACAAGAGAAAGAAUCAGCUAUUUUCCGUCUGUUUUAUUAAUAUAUUUCAAAGAAUAAGUUGUAGCAUUGAUUAAUUUUGUUUGAGUUGUAAUAUAAUAGCAAAUUUUCGAUUUUAACUUUAAAAAUCAAAUGGAUUCUAGAAAACACACUUUAAAAACCCUAAAAUUCACUUUACGCUCUAUAAAAAUAUAGACAUUGUUUUGUUUUUUCAUAAUAAGCCUCGUUCUUGUGCAGUAUGAAGGCGCGGCCACUAAUUGGUCUAUUGACCGAGCGUGAGGUCUGUACUAUCAACUAAGGUAUUUGCAUCAGUUACUGUCUGAUCAGGCUGAGUUACUGUCUGAUCAGGUCCACAACCUUCUUGACCUUCAUUGGAAACUGUUUCACCAUGAGUAAUUUUGUCCAAUAUUUCGUUGCACUUUUUUGCCCAUUCAUGUUCAUCAGCAGGUGCUACAAUAUCUCUGAAUAGGCCAUCACUUGAUGACCAGUCAUAUUUAGAGAUUUGAAAGAAGCUGGUACUUCUCUUAUUUCCAUGUCCAGGUGUAAAGGAGAGCUAUUGCAAAAAAUAACACACAUGUAAACUCAGUUAAAUGGCAAAAUAU